rnacentral:rRNA from 1 species
GACGAACGCUGGCGGCGUGCUUAACACAUGCAAGUCGAACGAAGAGCGAUGGAAGCUUGCUUCUAUCAAUCUUAGUGGCGCACGGGUGAGUAACGCGUAAUCAACCUGCCCUUCAGAGGGGGACAACAGUUGGAAACGACUGCUAAUACCGCAUACGAUCUAAUCUCGGCAUCGAGGAUAGAUGAAAGGUGGCCUCUACAUGUAAGCUAUCACUGAAGGGGGGGAUUGCGUCUGAUUAGCUAGUUGGAGGGGUAACGGCCCACCAAGGCGAUGAUCAGUAGCCGGUCUGAGAGGAUGAACGGCCACAUUGGGACUGAGACACGGCCCAGACUCCUACGGGAGGCAGCAGUGGGGAAUCUUCCGCAAUGGACGAAAGUCUGACGGAGCAACGCCGCGUGAGUGAUGACGGCCUUCGGGUUGUAAAGCUCUGUUAAUCGGGACGAAAGGCCUUCUUGCGAAUAGUGAGAAGGAUUGACGGGACCGGAAUAGAAAGCCACGGCGAACUACGU